rnacentral:rRNA from 1 species
AUUGAACGCUGGCGGAAUGCUUUACACAUGCAAGUCGAGCGGCAGCGCGGCCUUCGGGCUGGCGGCGAGCGGCGAACGGGUGAGUAAUGCAUCGGAACAUGCCCAGUCGUGGGGGAUAACACUUCGAAAGAAGUGCUAAUACCGCAUACGUCCUGAGGGGGAAAGCGGGGGAUCGCAAGACCUCGCGCGAUUGGAGUGGCCGAUGUCAGAUUAGCUAGUUGGUGGGGUAAAGGCCUACCAAGGCGACGAUCUGUAGCUGGUCUGAGAGGAUGAUCAGCCACACUGGGACUGAGACACGGCCCAGACUCCUACGGGAGGCAGCAGUGGGGAAUUUUGGACAAUGGGGGCAACCCUGAUCCAGCCAUUCCGCGUGAGUGAAGAAGGCCUUCGGGUUGUAAAGCU